rnacentral:misc_RNA from 1 species
GAUGAAGAACGCAGCGAAAUGCGAUAAGUAAUGUGAAUUGCAGAAUUCAGUGAAUCAUCGAAUCUUUGAACGCUCAUUGCGCCCGCUAGUAUUCUGGCGGGCAUGCCUGUCCGAGCGUCAUUUCAACCCUCAAGCCCCCGGGCUUGGUGUUGGGGAUCGGCGAGCCUCCGCGCCCGCCGUCCCCUAAAUCUAGUGGCGGUCUCGCUGUAGCUUCCUCUGCGUAGUAGCACACCUCGCACUGGGAAACAGCGCGGCCACGCCGUUAAACCCCCAACUUCUGAACGUUUGACCUCGGAUCAGGUAGGAAUACCCGCUGAACUUAAGCAUAUCAAUAAGCGGAGGA